GACGUAGGGCGCAAGCGUUGUCCGGAUUUAUUGGGCGUAAAGAGCUCGUAGGCGGCUUGUCGCGUCUGCUGUGAAAUCCCGAGGCUCAACCUCGGGCCUGCAGUGGGUACGGGCAAACUAGAGUGCGGUAGGGGAGAUUGGAAUUCCUGGCGUAGCGGUGGAAUGCGCAGAUAUCAGGAGGAACACCGAUGGCGAAGGCAGAUCUCUGGGCCGUAACUGACGCUGAGGAGCGAAAGCGUGGGGAG
rnacentral:rRNA from 1 species